rnacentral:rRNA from 1 species
AACGAACGCUGGCGGCAUGCCUAACACAUGCAAGUCGAACGAAGCCUUCGGGCUUAGUGGCGCACGGGUGCGUAACGCGUGGGAAUCUGCCCCUUGCUUCGGAAUAACAGUUAGAAAUGACUGCUAAUACCGGAUGAAGUCUUCGGACCAAAGAUUUAUCGGCAAGGGAUGAGCCCGCGUAGGAUUAGGUAGUUGGUGGGGUAAAGGCCUACCAAGCCGACGAUCCUUAGCUGGUCUGAGAGGAUGAUCAGCCACACUGGGACUGAGACACGGCCCAGACUCCUACGGGAAGCAGCAGUGGGGAAUAUUGGACAAUGGACGCAAGUCUGAUCCAGCAAUGCCGCGUGAGUGAUGAAGGCCUUAGGGUUGUAAAGCUCUUUUACCAGGGAUGAUAAUGACAGUACCUGGAGAAUAAGCGCCGGCUAACUCCGUG